rnacentral:rRNA from 1 species
GACGUAGGGCGCGAGCGUUGUCCGGAUUUAUUGGGCGUAAAGAGCUCGUAGGCGGCUUGUUGCGUCGGCUGUGAAAUCCCGUGGCUUAACUGCGGGCUUGCAGCUGAUACGGGCGGGCUGGAGUUCGGUAGGGGAGACUGGAAUUCCUGGUGUAGCGGUGAAAUGCGCAGAUAUCGGGAAGAACACCCGUGGCGAAGGCGGCUCUCUGGGACGGUACUGACGCUGAGACGCGAAAGCGUGGGAGCGAACAGG